rnacentral:tRNA from 1 species
GGAGUUGUAGCUCAGUGGUAGAGCACUUGCCUGGCAUGUGUAAGUCCCUGGGUUCAAUCCUUAGCACCA